rnacentral:tRNA from 1 species
GCCGGUGUGGUGAAAUGGCAGACGCGCCGGACUCAAAAUCCGGUGGGAGCAAUCCCGUGUGGGUUCAACUCCCACCACCGGCA